GAGUUUGAUCUUGGCUCAGAGUGAACGCUGGCGGUAGGCCUAACACAUGCAAGUCGAACGGCAGCACGGUAAGAGCUUGCUCUUACGGGUGGCGAGUGGCGGACGGGUGAGGAAUACAUCGGAAUCUACUUUUUCGUGGGGGAUAACGUAGGGAAACUUACGCUAAUACCGCAUACGACCUACGGGUGAAAGCAGGGGAUCUUCGGACCUUGCGCGAUUGAAUGAGCCGAUGUCGGAUUAGCUAGUUGGCGGGGUAAAGGCCCACCAAGGCGACGAUCCGUAGCUGGUCUGAGAGGAUGAUCAGCCACACUGGAACUGAGACACGGUCCAGACCCCUACGGGAGGCAGCAGUGGGGAAUAUUGGACAAUGGGCGCAAGCCUGAUCCAGCCAUACCGCGUGGGUGAAGAAGGCCUUCGG
rnacentral:rRNA from 1 species